rnacentral:rRNA from 1 species
GAGUUUGAUCUUGGCUCAGGAUAAACGCUGGCGGCGUGCAUUACCAAUGCGAGUCGUACGGGCAUUCUUCGGAGUGUCAGUGGCGGCCGGGUGCGUAACACGUGGGUGACCUACCCCGUUGUGGGGGAUACCCGCCCGAAAGGGUGGCUAAUACCGCAUACCUGUAGUGCUCUUGUGCGCUACAGAAAGCCUCUUCGUAAGGAGGGGCGCAGUGGGAGGGGCCCGCGGCCUAUCAGCUUGUCGGUGGGGUAACGGCCUACCGAGGCGACGACGGGUAGCCGGUCUGAGAGGACGAACGGCCACAGUGGGACUGAAAUAUGGUCCACAGCCCUACGGGGUUUAGCAUGGAGGAAUCUUGCGCAACGGCCUCACGGCCGGCGCAGCAACGCCGCGUGGGGGGAUGAAGGCUCUCGGGUCGUAAACCCCCUGUUGCUCGGGAAGAAGUACCCAGGAGGAGAUC